GGUCCAGCUAGGAUUAACCCUUUCUUCUAUAAACAUAGCAGUUUCAGAGAAACUGCGAUGUUUAUAAUAGGGUUAAUCCAGCCUCUAGUGGCUGUCUCAUUGACAGCCGCUAGAGGCGCUUCCGCGCUUCUCACUGUGAUUUUCACAGUGAGAAGACGCCAGCAUCCAUAGGAAAGCAUUGAGAAUGCUUUCCUAUGGACUGGCUGAAUGCGC